CUUAGUGGCGGACGGGUGAGUAACGCGUGGGGAACCUGCCCUGUACAGGGGGAUAACACUUAGAAAUAGGUGCUAAUACCGCAUAAGCGCACAGUAUCGCAUGAUACAGUGUGAAAAACUCCGGUGGUACGGGAUGGACCCGCGUCUGAUUAGCUGGUUGGCGGGGUAACGGCCCACCAAGGCGACGAUCAGUAGCCGGCCUGAGAGGGUGAACGGCCACAUUGGGACUGAGACACGGCCCAAACUCCUACGGGAGGCAGCAG
rnacentral:rRNA from 1 species